ACUGGUCUUGUCUCUGCCCCCUUCUGUAAUAAAGACCGGUCACUGCUGCUCUCUCUCCAUGUGCAGGGUGACUUGUCCUGUCUUUGCCCCCUUCUGUAAUAAAGACCUGUC